rfam:Aerococcus christensenii strain CCTG28831, complete genome.
AUCAAUGGUUACAGAAGAUUAAAAACUGUAACUGGGAUUAAAAUGGGAACAUUUGUUAAAAAGAAUAAAUUGAAUAAUAGUUCCAAGUGGUUUACAUUUGGGCAAAAAAAAUCAGACCGUAGUUUCAAACUGC